rfam:Poecilia formosa, whole genome shotgun sequence.
GUUCCUGUAGUGUAAUGGUUAUCAUGUUUGCUUUACAUGCAAAAGGUUUCUGGUUCAAAACCAGACAGAAACG